rnacentral:lncRNA from 1 species
UUUCUCGUUUUUACUCAUUUUCGUUAAGUUUAGUUAUUAGGCCAUUUAAUUCCCGUAGUUUCUUUUUAGAUUUCGUUUUUACAUUUUAAACAAACUACCAAAACCCCCACAAAAACCGUUUGGUUCUAGACUUUCUUACUUUAUAGUUCUUUCAAAUUGCAGGAAAAGAUCCUCCUUCCCUGGGCAUUCGAUCCCUAAGUACUACAAUCGAUCAGCUGUGCACUUGCGGCUAUUGAUUUCAUUUAGGGUAAAACUUGACAACCCUCACCACACCGACACAUCAGGAAGCUAAUUGGAAGUGCUUUGACAUUAAUUAGAGUAAACCGGAUAAGUCUAAAUCGCCCACUAUGAGUCUAGAGUCUAUAGUUUGAGUUAAAAACCCUUGAGAUCAUUGCAUCUAGUUUCCCGUAAAUAUUAGAUUAGGUUUAGUUUAGGAUCCGUAACCAAAAACCCCAAACCCCCAUGAGUUUUUAAUUUAGCUUACUCUCCCAGGUUGGUGUUUCCUUGCAGAUUAGACAUCUUCCCUAUGGAUCGACACCUUAAGUCCUACAACGUACAUUUGUGCACUUUCCGACAUUAGGGCUUUAUAAAUUUAAAACUCCGGACCAACCGGCUUGUAAACUCCGUAUCAAAAUUUUUGGCGCUGUUGCCGGAGAAGAUUUUAGUCGCUGGAGGUCUAAACCGAGAAGGUUAAAGCUGCAGAAGACUAUAUAUAUGUCGAGUUUCAGCGAAAACACCAGAGGAAGUAAACCAAACUCAUAAAUACCCUAAUUUAUUAUUUUUCUGCUUUUUCUUUCUUCUGCUUGCCCUAGUUUCAGAAUCCUUGAAGCAUGGAUCAACCAAAAAGAAGCUGUAAUCCCGAGCGAAGGUUCUACAACCUGUGUGAAACUCCCUGCGCAUGUGAAUCACCAUUCAGGCGUGAUUCCGACCACCUGGAUCGGAUCCCUCAUCUGAACCAUCACCUUGAAGGCUCGCGAACUCCAACCCACCAAGAUGAACUCUAUUUGCCACACCUGGUGAACCGACGACCAUCUUAUCCCCUACCUCAUCAUAUUCUGAACCAGAACUAUGAGAAUAAUCGACUUAACAUCCUGCUUAAUCGAUUGGAAGCCAAGCUGAAUCAGUUCCUUGCUUCCAAAGCCUUCGUUGAAGCUGCCCUGCGAACAAGGAUAGAUGCCAUCACCAUCGACCUUAACAGGAGGUUUGAUGACCUCUCUGAGCACGUGGUUACACUAGAGGAUCAGAGAACCAAAGACAAUGAAGUGUUGAAUCAGAGAAUAGAGUCUGACGAAGAAGAGCAAGGGAAAAACAAGUUCAACAUUCGAAAAAGUGAAAGGGAGCUGCAAACCCUAAAUUUCAAGAUCGAUGACUUGGACAAGGAGCUGAAUGAAAGCAAGAACCAAACCUACGACUACACAUUGGAGCUGUGGCAAGGCGUAGCUAAGGUUGAAAACAAGACAGAAGAUCUUGAUGCUACUUUAGAUAAAGUUGUCUAUGCUUUAGAUGAUGUAGAAGAGAAAGUGGAAAAUUUUUCUAAAGAUUAUAAGGAGAAUGAUCUGAACACUGGAUACAUUGAUUUGUAUACCCAAGACAUGCCUGGCAACCACUAGAAGCAAGAGAACAACAAUGGAGAAGAAGAGAUUGAAGAAGCAAGUAUGGUGAGUUAGAAGGAGCUGACCGCGGAUGCGAGCACUUCACCCACGGCCAAGGCCACUUCCACCGCAGCCCAUAUCACUUCACCCACGGUGGAUCCUGACUUUUCAGACUUGGAGACCUUUCAACUUCUCCCUGAAACCUGUUCAACUGAAGACCAACCCUUUGGAACCAGAUCUAGGUUGUUUGAUUAAGCUGUCUUUUCAAUCACUGCACAAACAUAAAAAAAACAAAAGCCCAAAAAGCAAGUUCGGGACAAUUAUAGCCCAACAGAAGGCCCACUUAUUACUCGUGAAACUAAAAGAUAAGCAAAAAAACACAAAACGGGUGAAGGGUAAAGAUGAACAUCAACCCAUGUGACGACCUUAGAAGAAACCAGAAGCUUUUCAGCUCAUGCAUAUCGCUGACGAGAAAAUCUCACCGGAAUCAUUCACUGUGUAAAGCUUCUUACUCGCCGAUCAGUUUACCAAAUCAAUCUUCUACUAAUAGCCAUCAGAAUGAUUAAGCCGCAAUAAGAUAAAUUCAUCCUCUAAACUUUUCCUAGCUUUCCAUCUUGAAGGAAGCUCCAUCACCAACCGAACCCAAUUUAUUGAUCCGAUUUGUAUCCGUUAGUGUUCCAUGACGUGAGCAAGAGGAAGAAACGAUGAAGAUAUUACUCCUAGAUAGAAAAGAAACCUGUAGAAAAACUUAAAAGAAGCAUCAGCAAUUCUGACGGGAAAUAAGUAAGAUCGUAAGAGAAAUCAAGAAAACCGGACUUCACUAGAAACUAUCCGAACACUGUUGGAAAAUUAUUAUCCGAACAACCGGAAAGACAUAUGAUCUAAAUCAGAAUAUAUUACAUAUAUAACAAAAAGAAAUUGGAUAAAUCCGGUGAAGAUUCCGAUCCCAAACUAAGAUUGGAAAUUACCUCUCUCUCUCUCAAAGAAAAGAGUGAGAGAAGAGAGAGAAAGACUGUUCAAUCAGUAGAAAGUUAAGUUGGCAAGAGUAUAUAUAAUCAUUAUUCAUUUUCUAACAGUAUUACAAUUAUCAAUGUAGGGAUUAGUCACUGGUUCACUACAAGGACUCUGAUUACUGUCAGAAUUAAAAAGGCUUGCUGCCUUUCACCAGCUCAUGUUUCUAGAUGGUCUC